GCACCGAGCAGGGCGGGUGGGAGCGGCCCCCCCUUCCCUCAUGCGGGGCGGGCAGCGCCGCGUCCCCCCGCCGCUCCGGGCCAGGCCGCCGAGCGCCUCCUCCCCCCCACCCCCGGCUCAGCUCCGGGCGGCGGCCGCCAGGCGGCUCAGGGGAGCUGCACACGGAGGAGGCGGUGGCAGGGGCUGCGAGCCGCCCAGGCAGAGACCCAUGUCGGGCUGCUCCUUCCCAGGAUGCACCUCCCCCUCCGCAGCUCACUGGGACUGAUGGGCUUCGGCUCCCGCGGCCAGGGGGCAAGGGAGGCCGGGGGGGUGGAGAUUGCCUGGCGGGGCAAACACCACAGGGCAGCGCAGGAUGGGUUGAGGCAGGGCGUGGCUGUAAUCUGGCCUCGGAGAAAGGGGGCGGCUUUAAUCCUGGUUGAAAGGGGGUCGCAGCCUACCUGUAGGGCAACCUUGAGUUCUUGGCUGCCUGUGUUAUCAACAGCUCAAAGACUCCAAAACCUCCGGAAGAAGCCACGAAAAAGCAAAGAAGACCUGCUGCAAGCAGUUAUGGAUCACUCUGCCACAGAGAAUCAAAAAGUGCAGGAUUGGAGGGAAAUAGAAAGCAGGAUCCACCAGAAAAAUGCAGCGGACAGGAAGAAAAGCACAGAGUAGCUGAUAAGCAUCCUGGCGCACCAAGCGGACUCUAUCCAGGCCCUCGUAGCCAUGCAGGCAGAGCUCUACUGCGCCGCCAUCCCAAAGCUCUUUCCCUUGUGCCCCAAUGUCAGCUCAAAACCCCCUUCCCCCCAGCAUCCAGGUUCUUACCACCACCAGCUGCCUCCAACACCUGUAAGUUCACCAACCAGCCCUGAGAACUAUGACCCUUACCCUCUGCACUCAACCCCCAUCACCAUGCAGUAUAGGCAUCCUGAAGUGCAGCAGUCAUUGCACAGCACUCCAGACAGGACAUAUUCAAACCUGUGACUGUACAGUUCCCCAACCCACGCCGCUGCCCUUUUAGGUUCCCAAAAUGUUGUGUGUCUGUCAAUAAAGUUAUUUUCUUUUCAAUAAAUGAA